CCCUACGGGGUGCACCAGCUUGAAGAUCGAGAGGAGCCGGAUAACGUGGAGCAGGGCAUUGUCCCGCGGGAACAUGAAGGGGAAGAAGAUGGGGAUGAUCGAGAGUAAGUCGAUCACCAUGUAGAUCUGGGUUGCAUACCGCAGGCGAUCCAUCACCCUGCCCCUGAAGGACCGGGUCUGGGUACAGGACCAGAUGCGCAGGAUGUAUUCGAUCGUAAAAAUUACGAGACAGACCGUGAUGACUGCGUAGAGCAGGUUUCUCGCUGGGAUCGGGAGAUCCGGAAGCGUGAUGAGGACCACGGUCAGGGUAUUUGCGAGGAUGAUGAAGGCAAGGAAUGCCUGGACGAUGAGAGCCGUGGGAUCCUGCCGCGGCGUGCCUUCGAGGAUCGUGUGGACCCGGGCCUUGAUCCGGUCAUAGCGGGAGAGC
rnacentral:rRNA from 1 species